UGAUCAUGGCUCAGAUUGAACGCUGGCGGCAGGCUUAACACAUGCAAGUCGAGCGGAGAGAGGUAGCUUGCUACUGAUCUUAGCGGCGGACGGGUGAGUAAUACUUAGGAAUCUGGCUAUUAGUGGGGGACAACAUUUCGAAAGGGAUGCUAAUACCGCAUACGUCCUACGGGAGAAAGCAGGGGAUCUUCGGACCUUGCGCUAAUAGAUGAGCCUAAGUCGGAUUAGCUAGUUGGUGGGGUAAAGGCCUACCAAGGCGACGAUCUGUAGCGGGUCUGAGAGGAUGAUCCGCCACACUGGGACUGAGACACGGCCCAGACUCCUACGGGAGGCAGCAGUGGGGAAUAUUGGACAAUGGGGGGAACCCUGAUCCAGCCAUGCCGCGUGUGUGAAGAAGGCCUUAUGGUUGUAAAGCACUUUAAGCGAGGAGGAGGGUACUGGUAUUAAUACUACCAGGUACUGGACGUUACUCGCAGAAUAAGCACCGGCUAACUCUGUGCCAGCAGCCGCGGUAAUACAGAGGGUGCGAGCGUUAAUCGGAUUUACUGGGCGUAAAGCGUGCGUAG
rnacentral:rRNA from 1 species